GGGAGGUUAUAACCCUUCUCACCCAUAUAUAUAUAACCAAUCUUCUCUUAUUGGAACUUAACAAGUGUUGCUUGAAUCCAGAAUUUAUCCUUCUUAAUGGUCUACAAGUUCCAAGAGAAACACUAAUGAGAAUCCUGUAUAAUUGAUAUUUGAUCAGUCGAUCUAGUUGACCCCUAACUAGAUCUCAUUAUAAACCCAGCUAUCACAAUACUAUAAACUGAAAAAUAUAUAGUAUUUUUCC
rnacentral:lncRNA from 1 species